rnacentral:rRNA from 1 species
UACGGAGGGUGCAAGCGUUAUCCGGAUUCACUGGGUUUAAAGGGUGCGUAGGCGGGCAGGUAAGUCCGUGGUGAAAUCUCUGGGCUUAACCCAGAAACUGCCAUGGAUACUAUUUGUCUUGAAUGUUGUGGAGGUAAGCGGAAUAUGUCAUGUAGCGGUGAAAUGCUUAGAUAUGACAUAGAACACCAAUUGCGAAGGCAGCUUACUACACAAAUAUUGACGCUGAGGCACGAAAGCGUGGGGAUCAAACAGG